UACGUAGGGUGCAGGCGUUAAUCGGAAUUACUGGGCGUAAAGCGUGCGCAGGCGGUUUGCUAAGACAGGUGUGAAAUCCCCGGGCUUAACCUGGGAACUGCGCUUGUAACUGGCAAGCUGGAGUGUGGCAGAGGGGGGUGGAAUUCCACGUGUAGCAGUGAAAUGCGUAGAGAUGUGGAGGAACACCGAUGGCGAAGGCAGCCCCCUGGGCUAACACUGACGCUCAUGCACGAAAGCGUGGGGAUCAAACAGG
rnacentral:rRNA from 1 species